rnacentral:rRNA from 1 species
GUAAACGGCGGCCGUAACUAUAACGGUCCUAAGGUAGCGAAAUUCCUUGUCGGGUAAGUUCCGACCUGCACGAAUGGCAUAAUGAUGGCGGCGCUGUCUCCAGCAGAGGCUCAGUGAAAUCGAAAUCGCUGUGAAGAUGCAGUGUACCCGCGGCUAGACGGAAAGACCCCGUGAACCUUUACUGCAGCUUGACACUGAACUUUGACCUUACUUGUGUAGGAUAGGUGGGAGGCUUUGAAGCUGGAACGCUAGUUCCAGUGGAGCCGUCCUUGAAAUACCACCCUGGUAAUGUUGAGGUUCUAACUCUGUCCCGUGAUCCGGGACGAGGACCGUGUCUGGUGGGUAGUUUGACUGGGGCGGUCUCCUCCUAAAGAGUAACGGAGGAGUACGAAGGUGCGCUCAGCGUGGUCGGAAAUCACGCGUAGAGUAUAAAGGCAAAAGCGCGCUUAACUGCGAGACCCACAAGUCGAGCAGGUACGAAAGUAGGUCUUAGUGAUCCGGUGGUUCUGUAUGGAAGGGCCAUCGCUCAACGGAUAAAAGGUACUCUGGGGAUAACAGGCUGAUACCGCCCAAGAGUUCAUAUCGACGGCGGUGUUUGGCACCUCGAUGUCGGCUCAUCUCAUCCUGGGGCUGAAGCAGGUCCCAAGGGUAUGGCUGUUCGCCAUUUAAAGAGGUACGCGAGCUGGGUUUAGAACGUCGUGAGACAGUUCGGUCCCUAUCUACCGUGGGCGCUGGAAAUUUGAGAGGAUCUGCUCCUAGUACGAGAGGACCAGAGUGGACGAACCUCUGGUGUACCGGUUGUGACGCCAGUCGCAUCGCCGGGUAGCUAUGUUCGGAAGGGAUAACCGCUGAAAGCAUCUAAGCGGGAAGCCUACCUCAAGAUAAGAUUUCCCUAGGACUUUAUGUCCUCUAAAGAGCCGUUCGAGACUAGGACGUUGAUAGGUUGGAUGUGGAAGCAUAGUGAUAUGUGAAGCUGACCAAUACUAAUUGCUCGUGAGGCUUGACUAUACAACACCCAAGCAGUUG